rnacentral:rRNA from 1 species
CGAGCACGCGCGUGUGGCAUAUCAAUAAGCGGAGGAAAAGAAACUAACAAGGAUUCCCUUAGUAACGGCGAGUGAAGCGGGAAGAGCUCAAAUUUGAAAUCUUCAAGGUUCUACCUUGACGAAUUGUAGUUUAUAGAAGUGUUUUCUGUUAGUGGAGUGGCAAAAGUUCUUUGGAAUAGGACAUCAUAGAGGGUGAGAAUCCCGUAUUUGGUCAUUCCUCCUAGCGUUGUGAUACACUUUCAACGAGUCGGAUUGUUUGGGAAUGCAGUCCAGAAUGGGUGGUAAAUUUCAUCUAAAGCUAAAUAUUGGCGAGAGACCGAUAGCGAACAAGUACCGUGAGGGAAAGAUGAAAAGAACUUUGAAAAGAGAGUUAAACAGUACGUGAAAUUGUCAAAAGGGAAGCGUUUGACACCAGUGUUGUUUUUCCGAAAAUCAAUUACGAAUGUUUUGUUUUUGAGGAGUUAUGACUUCAUCGGCUUGCUUCUUUCUUUACGAAACUUUCUUAAUGCACUUUUCGGUUAACAAGUCAACAUCAAUUUCUUUUGUUGUAAAAGGGUAUGAGGAAGGUGGCUUUCUUUUCAGGAGAAAGUGUUUAUAGCCUUGUGCCUCUGCAAUCGGAGAGAUUGAGGUCUGCAGCGUAGAUCCUUCGGGGUUAGAUACAUUUGUGCUAAGUUAUAGCUUUUCAUAGACAACUUGUUGACUAUGUUAGUCUUGUAGCUUACUCGCUUAUGCUAUUUUACCUACGCUUAGGAUGUUGAUGUGAUACUGCGAGCA